CCUCUCUAUCUUGUCUCCUUAUAUGUGGCAGCAUGUCUUCUCACCACCAUCUUGCCAUUGUCAUAGUCAGGUAUUUCGAACCAUUGUUAAAUGAAGUAGUAUCAAAAUAAGCUGCUGCCAGCUUUGAAUUGGUGGAUGGUGCUUUCAUUCUCUACCACCAUGAUAAUAUAAUAAAGCCUCAUCACCAAUGACCAGUGGUGAAGGUUGAAGGUGAGCCUGCCACUUUUCCUCCUUCGUGUUCUAUUCCGUUUUACGUGGGCAUGGUCCAAUGACAAACAAAGUCUGGUCAUAAUGUUGUAGGCAUCGAGGGUUUGAGGAGGUCUAAUAUUUUUCGCUGAAGAAAACAAAUCUUGCUGACGGUAGAUAUGGCAUGGGUGGUACCUCCAACAAGAAGUUUAAGCUGGAAGAUUAAACCAAUAUUACUACACCCAAUGGAAGAGAGGGUA
rnacentral:lncRNA from 1 species